GAUUUCUGGCUGACCGUCCUGGCCCGCUUCUUUUACGGGAGUGAGUGCCGGUACGAGUUUGCCAUCCUUCUAGAAAGCCGCGCCUACCGUUCAUUCGUGCGGGCGUGUGCGGUCUAGAUCUUUUACUUUGAAAAAAUUAGAGUGUUUAAAGCAGGCUUACGCUAUGAAUACAUUAGCAUGGAAUAAUAAUAUAGGACUUUGAUUCUAUUUUGUUGGUUUCUAGGAUUGAAGUAAUGAUUGAUAGGGAUAGUUGGGGGUGCUAGUAUUCCGCGGCCAGAGGUGAAAUUCUUGGAUUCGCGGAAGACUAACUACUGCGAAAGCAUU
rnacentral:rRNA from 1 species